ensembl:lncRNA
ACGGACACAACACAUCGAUCAAUGCACCUGAAAAAGUCAGCAAAUAAACUCUGACCUGCUUUCUUCUCGCUCGACUCCGCGCUGAACUCUGCAAUGAGUGUUCCGGCUGGAAAACCUGAAGCUCCUGCGUUCCGUCUCAAAAUACGUCUCACAGGGAGCUGGAAAACAAUUAAAUGAGUGUGAUAUGAAUACAAAAAAAAUCAAACGCAAGUCACAGUAACAUUUAACAAGGAAGGAGAAACAGUAAACGGCGUUACUUACACACAAUGACGUCGUCUAAAUCUGGACUUUUCCCGGAGCAAAUACGAGGUCACCGCCUCAUUAUGAGGCGCGAUUAGUCUGUGAAAACAAAAUGUACAGUUAUGAUCGGUAUCCAUCCUAUGGUAUCUUUACGUAUAUAUUCCCUUAUACCGCAGGAUGAAAGCAUAUUCUUUACAUCUGACCCUUUCUCCGGUUCGUAGCGCUUGUAGUUCGUCUCGGAGUUGUGAAGACGGCGCAGCGCUUCCUGUAAACGACACGGCAAAGAAAACACACUUUAAUAAAGCUGUUUCUGCUCACUUGUAAGGCUACUAGGCUACUCUUAGCUUAGCUUGAGGCUACGCUACUUUUAGCUUAGCUAGCAGUCAUCAAACGUAUUCUUACCGCUAUCUUGGGAUUGUGCGCCCGUCUCCUCUUCUUUGAGUCGGUUCCUCUCCUCCAUGAACAGAAACCCGCAGAGUCCCGACUGCUCCAGUGGAGCGAACCGCUCGUUGAUAUCGGCAGUUUGUUGUUGGAGUUGACGAGACGAUCCACUGAGAGCAUCAGCAGCUUCUUCUCGUCUGUCUGCGGACUGGCCGAAAGUUGGUGACCGCGGAGAGGAGUUGAAGGCGAGUUGAACGCGAGACGUCAAAAUGAACAUUUGCCACAUGUUUAUGCAAAGAAAGAGCUUUAUUAACAACACACAAAC